rnacentral:rRNA from 1 species
CACGGAGUUAGCCGGUGCUUCUUCUGCGAGUAACGUCAAGUGAUGAACGUAUUAAGUUCACCACCUUCCUCCUCGCUGAAAGUGCUUUACAACCCGAAGGCCUUCUUCACACACGCGGCAUGG